UGCCCCAGUAACGGCGAGUGAAGCGGCAACAGCUCAAAUUUGAAAUCUGGCUCUCGGGCCCGAGUUGUAAUUUGUAGAGGAUGCUUUUGGUGAGGUGCCUUCCGAGUUCCCUGGAACGGGACGCCAUAGAGGGUGAGAGCCCCGUCUGGUUGGACACCGAUCCUCUGUAAAGCUCCUUCGACGAGUCGAGUAGUUUGGGAAUGCUGCUCUAAAUGGGAGGUAUAUGUCUUCUAAAGCUAAAUACCGGCCAGAGACCGAUAGCGCACAAGUAGAGUGAUCGAAAGAUGAAAAGAACUUUGAAAAGAGAGUUAAACAGUACGUGAAAUUGUUGAAAGGGAAGCGCUUGUGACCAGACUUGGGCUUGGUUGAUCAUCCGGGGUUCUCCCCGGUGCACUCUUCCGGCCCAGGCCAGCAUCAGUUCGCCCUGGGGGACAAAGGCUUCGGGAAUGUGGCUCUCUCCGGGGAGUGUUAUAGCCCGUUGCGUAAUACCCUGUGGCGGACUGAGGUUCGCGCAUUCGCAAGGAUGCUGGCGUAAUGGUCAUCAGUGACCCGUCUUGAAACACGGACCAAGGAGUCGUCUUCGUAUGCGAGUGUUCGGGUGUCAAACCCCUACGCGAAAUGAAAGUGAACGCAGGUGAGAGCUUCGGCGCAUCAUCGACCGAUCCUGAUGUUAUCGGAUGGAUUUGAGUAAGAGCAUACGGGGCCGGACCCGAAAGAAGGUGAACUAUGCCUGUGUAGGGUGAAGCCAGAGGAAACUCUGGUGGAGGCUCGCAGCGGUUCUGACGUGCAAAUCGAUCGUCAAACAUGGGCAUGGGGGCGAAAGACUAAUCGAACCUUCUAGUAGCUGGUUUCCGCCGAAGUUUCCCUCAGGAUAGCAGUGUUGAACUCAGUUUUAUGAGGUAAAGCGAAUGAUUAGGGACUCGGGGGCGCUAUUUAGCCUUCAUCCAUUCUCAAACUUUAAAUAUGUAAGAAGCCCUUGUUGCUUAA
rnacentral:rRNA from 1 species